rnacentral:sRNA from 1 species
AACUUUGCUUCCCUUCCCUGGCUUGAGCUUUGGACUUUCUGUUUUACUUCCUGAUCACUGUUCCCUAUUCCUUGCUAAUCUGCUUUUCCUCUGCUGCCCGAUGUCUUGCAGUCCUCCUCUUUGCUAGCAGCUCGGCAGGCUUCCACUGAAGUACCUACUGCUGCAGACCUUGUCAAUGCAAUAGAAAAGUUGGUCAAAAACAAGCUGAGUCUAGAAGGAGGCUCAUACCGGGGGAGCUUGAAAGACCCUGCAGGCUGCCUGAAUGAGGGGAUGGCCCCACCCACACCUCCUAGAAACCCGGAAGAAGAACAGAAAGCCAAGGCCCUGAGAGGCAGGAUGUUUGUCCUGAAUGAGCUGGUACAGACAGAGAAAGACUAUGUCAAGGAUCUGGGCAUUGUGGUGGAGGGCUUCAUGAAGAGAAUAGAAGAAAAGGGUGUCCCUGAGGAUAUGCGAGGAAAGGACAAAAUCGUGUUUGGAAAUAUUCAUCAGAUUUAUGACUGGCAUAAGGAUUUUUUCCUGGCGGAACUGGAAAAGUGUAUCCAGGAGCAAGACAGAUUGGCACAGCUCUUUAUUAAGCAUGAGCGGAAGCUGCACAUCUACGUGUGGUAUUGUCAGAAUAAGCCGCGCUCAGAGUACAUCGUUGCUGAGUAUGAUGCCUACUUUGAGGAGGUAAAACAGGAGAUAAAUCAGAGGCUGACACUGAGUGACUUCCUCAUAAAGCCCAUUCAGAGAAUAACAAAAUACCAGUUGCUCCUCAAGGACUUCCUGAGAUACAGUGAGAAGGCUGGUUUGGAGUGUUCAGAUAUCGAGAAAGCAGUGGAGUUAAUGUGCCUUGUUCCCAAACGCUGCAAUGACAUGAUGAAUCUAGGACGUCUGCAGGGCUUUGAGGGCACCCUGACUGCUCAGGGGAAGCUGCUGCAGCAGGACACAUUCUAUGUGAUCGAGCUGGAUGCGGGCAUGCAGUCCCGGACCAAAGAGAGGCGCGUGUUCCUCUUCGAGCAGAUUGUCAUCUUCAGUGAACUGCUCAGGAAGGGAUCCCUCACCCCUGGCUACAUGUUCAAAAGGAGCAUCAAGAUGAAUUACUUGGUCCUGGAGGAGAAUGUGGACAAUGAUCCCUGCAAGUUUGCACUCAUGAACAGGGAGACUUCUGAGAGGGUCAUUCUGCAAGCCGCCAACGCUGACAUCCAGCAGGCCUGGGUGCAGGACAUCAAUCAAGUCUUAGAAACACAGCGAGACUUUUUGAAUGCACUGCAAUCGCCCAUUGAGUAUCAACGGAAAGAAAGGAGCACAGCCGUGAUGAGGUCUCAACCUGCCAGGCUUCCCCAAGCCAGCCCCAGGCCCUACUCCUCUGUUCCUGUGGGCUCAGAGAAGCCCCCAAAGGGCUCCAGCUAUAACCCACCUCUGCCUCCCCUGAAGAUAUCUACCUCCAAUGGCAGUCCAGGGUUUGAAUACCACCAGCCUGGGGACAAGUUUGAAGCCAGCAAGAACGACCUGGGAGGCUGCAAUGGGACCUCGUCCAUGGCCGUGAUCAAAGAUUACUAUGCACUGAAGGAGAAUGAAAUCUGUGUGAGCCAAGGUGAGGUGGUCCAGGUCCUCGCCGUCAACCAGCAGAACAUGUGUCUGGUGUACCAGCCUGCCAGCGACCAUUCCCCUGCCGCCGAGGGCUGGGUCCCAGGCAGCAUCCUGGCGCCCCUCACCAAAGCCACAGCAGCAGAAAGUAGUGACGGGAGCAUCAAGUAAGUGCCUCGUUGGCUUCCCCGGGAGAGGAGUAUGAGGAUUAAAAAUAUUCAGAAACAAACAAAGGAACACAAAAAUGCAAACACACAGUAGGGAAUUACUGCUGCUUAUUCUCAACAGUGCCACGGAACCAGUGUUUGAGUGCUGGCACCAUAUGCAGCAUGGGGCAUCCAGGCUGGAGUGGUCCAGUUUUUUUGUUGGUGGUGGUGAUGAUUUUUCUUUCCUUUUGGUUUAUAAUUUUCUGUUCAUUUUUCCCCCUUUUCCCCCCCAUUCAUUAAGAACCCUGCUGAAACCCUAGGUGACAAAAGGUGUGCUUUCUGUUGCCACAUUUGACCCACCACA